CGCCCCAGGCCCUUCCAACCCUGGCCCUGCUCAGGUUCCCGGGUUUGUCCCGACAGGGUCCUGGACCUUGGCCCCGGCUCCGCCUGCGCCAGUCUCCGCCCCGACCUCAGCCCAGGCCCAGCCCGGCAGCGGCUCGGGUACUGGGCUCCGCCCAGACCCCGGCCCAGGCCCGCCCCCCUCAGCCCUAGCUCCGCCCCGACCCCAGUCCGCCGGCGGGAGGCACAGGAGCUUGGCCAAGUCCCCACAAGCUCCGCAGAGUGCACGGUGCCCUGCACCGUCUUGCUUUUCUCUGAGAGUUAGAUGCUAGGGCCCUGGGAUGGGCGAAGUGACUGUGCCUUCGCAUUUAGAACCUGGCUAUUUGCUCUGGACCUCUAGGCCUCGCCGCAAAUCCUGCUGAAACGGGAAAGGGCGGGAUCUAGACGUUGAGGAACUAGGAGGAUCUGAACUGAAGGGCACUACCGGCUCCACAGGGUCACUGAAGACCUGUUUGCCACCCCCUGGGGGCAGAACAAGAGGAAGAGAGUUAGGAGGCUGGGCCGUCUGGGUGCCGUCACUUCCUGGCUGGCAAUCCUGGUCAAGUAGCUUAAUUUAACAUCCUUCCACUUUUCUUAUUGGCAAAUUGAAAUGAAUGAUAUCCACCCCAAAGGAUUUUUGUGACAACUGAGAUAAUGUACAGAAGGUGUCUGGCACAGAAUACACUAAAUAUGAGAUGCUGCUGCUGCUGCUAAGGCACUUCAGUCGUGUCCGACUCUGCGACCCCAUGGACGGCAGCCCACCAGGCUCCCCCCGUCCCUGGGAUUCUACAGGGAAGAACACUGAAGUGGGUUGCCAUUUCCUUCUCCUAUGAAAAUGAAAAGUGAAAGUGAAGUCGCUCAGUCAUGUCUGACUCUUCGUGACCCCAUGGACUGCAGCCUACCAGGCUCCUCGGUCCAUGGGAUUUUCCAGGCAAGAGUACUGGAGUGGGGUGCCAUUGCCUUCUCCAAUGCAUGAAAGUGAAAAGUGAAAGUGAAGUCACUCAGUCAUGUCUGACUCUUCCUGACCCCAUGGACUGCAGCCUACCAGGCUCCUCGGUCCAUGGGAUUUUCCAGGCGAGAGUACUGGAGUGGGGUGCCAUUGCCUUCUCCGAAAUAGGAGAUGGGGGAGGGGUAAAUUAUUUAAAACGUUUGCUAAGAGAUUUAGU
ensembl:lncRNA